GGCCCGUUAGCUCAGCUUGGUUAGAGCGUCGUGCUAAUAACGCGAAGGUCGCGGGUUCAUCCCCUACGGGCCG
rnacentral:tRNA from 1 species